GUGGGUUUAAUCGGCAGCGCCUUGUCUCGUUGAGGGAGACAAAAACUCGAUUGGAUUGCCAGGAACAGCUCACGCGCUUAGUUAAGAUGGGAAGUGUUAAACCUCAGUAAAUCGUGCCCAGCCGAGGACGUCCUAAACCGAGUCGCAUUUUUUUUUUAUUUAUAAUUAUUUGUUUUUCCAAAAUUAUUAAGAUUGUGAAGUGUCUUUUGGUAGUUUUACUAAGUCGUUAACUGUUUUAAAUCUUGCUGCUUGGUUUUGGUAACUCUCAAAACUAGAAUAUAGUUAAGUAAAUGAUGCAUUGACGAUUAAAUCUCCGUUUGUUUUUCUAGAGUCGGGCUGAAGAAAAAAGACCCCCAUGACAACUCCAGAUAUCACCGAGAAUGUUGACUUUUCCGGUGGGGAAAAAAACCAAGGUGCUCCAGUUCUAAAAGACCUCGGAUUUGUUACAUGUUCUGAAAAAUUAUGGUUCUGGUAUGUACUUUUACUUUAUCCUUAAGUUGGCCAUGUUAUAUAUGCAUGCAUGUGCAUACAUCUGUAACUUUUUGGAAAACAGGCUGUUUGUAGAACUUUCAGGAUAUGUUGAGAAGUAUAAUUGACUGCUGGAAAGGUAUAGCUGCUUCCCAAAAGAUUGAGGUUUUUUUUUUUUGAAAAGUUACAUAAUUCUAAUCAGACUUUAUUUGGGACACCAGGGAUGUAGGUGUUGGUUGUAAGAGUGCUUUACCUGGCAUAUACAAGGCUCUAGGUUCAGAAGCCAGAACCAGUUUUGUUGUUACUAUUUAAAGUAUGCCCUGUAGUAUCUCUGUGGAUGUCAAUAUGAUCUUUCUGCCCUGUUGGACUUUGUUGUUGAUUUUAGGAGCACAUAAAUGAUGUUUUUCAUUCACAAGUAAUUCAGACUAGAAUGACAGCAUAUUUCAGGAUAUGGAUUAAAGCAGAUCUGGUUACCUAAUGAUGUUCCUCCAAAGAUGAAUCCCUAGAGAGCUUAGUGUGACUAAAAUAAAUUUGGUUUUUCUUUGUUUUGUUUUUUAUUU
rnacentral:lncRNA from 1 species